rnacentral:rRNA from 1 species
AGAGUUUGAUCCUGGCUCAGAUUGAACGCUGGCGGCAUGCCUUACACAUGCAAGUCGAACGGCAGCGCGGGGCAACCUGGCGGCGAGUGGCGAACGGGUGAGUAAUAUAUCGGAACGUGCCCUGGAGUGGGGGAUAACGCAGCGAAAGUUGCGCUAAUACCGCAUACGAUCUGAGGAUGAAAGCAGGGGACCGCAAGGCCUUGUGCUCCUGGAGCGGCCGAUAUCUGAUUAGCUAGUUGGUGGGGUAAAGGCCUACCAAGGCAUCGAUCAGUAGCUGGUCUGAGAGGACGACCAGCCACACUGGAACUGAGACACGGUCCAGACUCCUACGGGAGGCAGCAGUGGGGAAUUUUGGACAAUGGGCGAAAGCCUGAUCCAGCAAUGCCGCGUGAGUGAAGAAGGCCUUC